CCUCGAGCUGCACAGUGUUUGGCUUGAGAGCCAGAAGCAUUGAAAGACAGACUCUGUGGGUCCUUAUGUCUUGAAGCAGAAAAGAACUUGGGAGGGAGCGGCCCCAAACCAUACCCGCACCUCUGGCAGCAGACAGCAGGUGCGUGCCUCCAGGGCCUUGCCUGGAGGAACUUUUUGGAAAUCAAUGCAAAUGAGAACAGUUUCCUCAGAGCAGAAAGGAACCUUCAGGAACCCAGAAGGCAGACGUGUAUUUGAGGACAGCACUCGAGCCCGGUCAGCCCACAGUCACUGGAUUGACAUGUCAACGCAGGCACUGGGACCCUGCACUUCCGUUUCUCACUCGUGCGCCUCAAGGGAGAAGGGAAAGCUGCCCACACAUUUGUGGUAGCUUUUUCUUUAGCCUUUAAAAAUUUUAGAAUUUAAACUUAAGAAAAAGGGUAGUCUAGCAGUAAACUUUAGAUCUAUUCUGCUGAUUCAUUUUAUUUGAGGUGUACUCUACAGAGUCCGGCUUCCCUGGUGGCUCAGAUGAUAAAGAAUCUACCUGCAAUGUGGGAGACCUGGGUUCAGUCCCUGGGUUGGGAAGAUCUCCUGCAUGAGGCAUGGCAAUCUACUCCAGUAUUCUUGCCUGGACAAUCCCAUGGAUAGAGGAGCCUGGAAGGCUACAAUCCCUGGGAUCACAAAGAAUCAGACACGACUUGGCAUCUAAACAGCAACAGGGACAAGCCAUUUCUUCAGACACAGAGGAGCAUGAAAGAUGCUUGAAAUUUCACAUGGUUCAACCAUCUUCCAUCCCCAGACUGGAAUGAAGAAUUGCUCUUGAAGGAAGAGACACAAGACUUCUUUCCAGAUCGGCUCAUGAAUAUCGAUCUCCUCUGCUUCCCAGGAAGAGUCUGUUAGAAAAGAACUCCUGGACACCCACUCUUAAUUAUCAUAAAAGGAAACUAAAUGUUUUAAUCAAAGCCUCUUAAUUUGAAGAUACAUUAAAAUAAUUUGGGGAAGUUUUUCAAUAUGUGUAUGUCUAGCCUUCCUCGGACAUAUUAAGUCAGUUUCCUGGGGUUGGGACAUGGGCCUGAACAAGCAGAGAAUUCUCUCUCCAUACAUUAUUCGAAGCUGCCUGUCAUCCUAAAGCAAAACCACUCUCCCAUCAUUCACCAGAUUGCAUAUUAUAGCAACUUCCAUC
ensembl:lncRNA